UCAGCAAGCCCGCGGUAAUACGGGAGUGGCAAGCGUUAUCCGGAAUUAUUGGGCGUAAAGCGUCCGCAGGCGGUUUUACAAGUCUGUCGUUAAAACGUGGAGCUCAACUCCAUUUCGGCGAUGGAAACUGUAAGACUAGAGUGUGGUAGGGGCAGAGGGAAUUCCCGGUGUAGCGGUGAAAUGCGUAGAUAUCGGGAAGAACACCAGUGGCGAAGGCGCUCUGCUGGGCCAUAACUGACGCUCAUGGACGAAAGCCAGGGGAGCGAAAGGGAUUAGAUACCCCUGUAGUCCUGGCCGUAAACGAUGAACACUAGGUGUCGGGGGAAUCGACCCCCUCGGUGUCGUAGCCAACGCGUUAAGUGUUCCGCCUGGGGAGUACGCACGCAAGUGUGAAACUCAAAGGA
rnacentral:rRNA from 1 species